GAAGGGCACCACCAGGAGUGGAGCCUGCGGCUUAAUCUGACUCAACACGGGAAAACUUACCAGGUCCAGACAUAGUGAGGNUUGACAGAUUGAGAGCUCUUUCUUGAUUCUAUGGGUGGUGGCGCAUGGGCCGUUCUUAGUUGGUGGAGUGAUUUGUCUGGUUAAUUCCGUUAANGAACGAGACCCCCGCCUGCUAAAUAGUUAAAUCAAUGCUUUGCAUUGAUCNUAGCUUNUUAGAGGGACUUUUGGUGACUAACCAAAGGAAGUUGGGGGCAAUAACAGGUCUGUGAUGCCCUUAGAUGUCCUGGGCCGCACGCGCGCUACACUGACACACGCAACGAGUUUUUCCUUGUCCGAAAGGUCCGGGUAAUCUUUGANAUGUGUGUCGUGAUUGGGAUAGAUUAUUGCAAUUAUUAAUCUUGAACGAGGAAUUCCUAGAAAUGCGAGUCAUCAGCUCGCGUUAUACGCCC
rnacentral:rRNA from 1 species